UACGUAGGUGGCGAGCGUUGUCCGGAUUUACUGGGCGUAAAGGGCGUGCAGGCGGUCUGCUAAGUCUAGGGUGAAAGCUCCCGGCUCAACUGGGAGAGGUCCUUGGAUACUGACAGACUUGAGGGAGGCAGAGGAGAAUGGAAUUCCCGGUGUAGCAGUGAAAUGCGUAGAUAUCGAGAGGAACACCAGUGGCGAAGGCGAGUCCCUGGACAAUACCUGACACUGAGGCACGAAAGCUAGGGGAGCAAACAGG
rnacentral:rRNA from 1 species